rnacentral:lncRNA from 1 species
CGGUGACGCACUCGUCCGAGUCGCUCGCGCUCCUUGCCGCUGCGGAGUGGCGCCCGUGUGCGAAGCGUGGCUACAACUGCGUGCGGAGAGCCCGAGCUUCCUACUCCAUCGAGCCCCGCGGCCGUCUCUACAAUCUGCAACAAAAUAAAGGGGUCCCGAGAAGCGCAAGUCGGUUCGUUUGUCCCACGGAGGUUUACCCCUGUAUUCGUCCUGGAAAGAGAGCGGAGGGACUAUUUGACGGGCGGAGGGAUAAUAGGACCUUCGCGGGGGGUGACGGGGUUGAAAAGCCAUGUGCUUCUUUGUUUACAAAAACAGCGCAGAGCGCAGAUUCCACUAACGGCUCUGCGUGAUUUUACUCUCAUAUUUCUGACAGAAAUGUGAGAGUAAUACUCGUAACGCGAAAGCAGAGUUGGAUAUGGCCGAGCAGGCGUCUGGCUGAGGAGAUUCGCGAUCAAACGAAAAGAAGGAGAGUGAUUUAUUAGCCCGCCGAAGAAGGGGAUGUGGAGAAAAGUGGGCACCGCGGCGCGACUCGAGGCGAGCUGGUCCUCCGCUGUCAGCCUCUGGAUAUCGGGGCUGCUUCUCUGUUUCUGGCGGACUGAGGGAAAAGGGUCAGGUUCCUGCAGCAGUUCUACAAAGAGAAUGAGUCUCAAAUUAUUCCUUUAAAAAUGGUGCCCAGCAGGCGAGUGAAGAGAACUUGUGGUGCUUGCUUACUGAAAACAAGUGGCCCUGCAGGUGGUCCUGGAUCACGUGGCUGCGGAGGACCCCGAGCUGCUGGAGCGCGUGUGUGAAAAUGACAAAUGCUACAUCAUCCUCUUCUUUGAUGUUGUGCACAACCUGCUGCCAAAUGCAGGGAGAAGGAGGUCAGAGCAGAGCUGUCUGGUCACCCUUCUUCAAGCUCCUCAUCCUCUGCACAAGUCAGCAGCGUGUUGACCACAAGUCUUGUGGGCCAGCUGUGCUUGCACAUGCAAGAUUCAAAGGUCAUCUUGUUUCCAGGGGCUGUGCACACAGGGACAUGUAAGCAAAUGCUCUUGUGUCCAAGUUCC